AGUGAACGCUGGCGGUAUGCCUAACACAUGCAAGUCGAACGGCAGCACAGUAAGAGCUUGCUCUUACGGGUGGCGAGUGGCGGACGGGUGAGGAAUACAUCGGAAUCUACUUUUUCGUGGGGGAUAACGUAGGGAAACUUACGCUAAUACCGCAUACGACCUACGGUUGAAAGCAGGGGAGCUUCGGACCUUGCGCGAUUGAAUGAGCCGAUGUCGGAUUAGCUAGUUGGCGGGGUAAAGGCCCACCAAGGCGACGAUCCGUAGCUGGUCUGAGAGGAUGAUCAGCCACACUGGAACUGAGACACGGUCCAGACUCCUACGGGAGGCAGCAGUGGGGAAUAUUGGACAAUGGGCGCAAGCCUGAUCCAGCCAUACCGCGUGGGUGAAGAAGGCCUUCGGGUUGUAAAGCCCUUUUGUUGGGAAAGAAAAGCAGCAGGUUAAUACCCCGCUGUUCUGACGGUACCCAAAGAAUAAGCACCGGCUAACUUCGUG
rnacentral:rRNA from 1 species